rnacentral:piRNA from 1 species
UAAGGAUCAAAACUGGGCAUGGUGG